UUUUAAAGCAAGUGACACUGUUUACUCCUGAGUUCACUUAAUGAAUGCACUUUAAAUUCAAGACCCAAGCUAAGGUUGUAGAAUUAGAGCAAACAUUAGAGUACACCAAUAUCAUCUAUGGGAGUAAACCUUCUUAAGGGGAGGAGAGAAGGAAAUGGGAAGUGUACAUAAUACUCUAUUUAAAUCCUUGGUUAUCUGGUGUAUUCUGGAAUUGGGGCAGAAGAGAGGCAGCCAGCUUGGUAAGGGCCUUAGCUAUAAUGUCCAAGUGGCCAUUCAUUGUCCUCAGCUCCACAAGAAUGUUCCCCACAUCUGCUUCCAAACUUGGAGUUACAGGAGGUACCUCUUUGGAACCUGAAGGACCCAGGCGAGAGGAUGAGGACGGAGAUGGGAGAUCUGUGGUGGAACGACCAGGUUCUUCAGAAGAUAGAAACAAGGUGGUGGAAGAUGGAGAGUCCAGGCUGCUAUGUUCUGAAUCUGUUAAGAAAUAAACAAGAAAUUUGUUAUUCACUCGUUUCAGUUGUUAUUUAUCCUUC
rnacentral:lncRNA from 1 species